UGCAUAUGCUCGGCUCAACACACGGUAAGACUAAAUGCUUUAACGAUUGGCAGACAUAAAGUAAACGUCUAACUGCGUAGGUCGAUUGCAGUAUGUUGAUCGAAGAACAUCACGUACUCGCAUUGGAAAUAAUUGAAUGCUUACGCACAUAAACGCAUGAGGAAGGAUUAGAAAUAGUAAGGAUUCGCUGUAUGUGCUUUUAGAGUAUUACGCAUGAGAGAAAGCAUGAGUUUUGAAUCUUUGCCAGCGGCUACUGCACAUACAUUUGCAGUUUAUUCGGCCCUUCGUAAGAAUAUAUUUAAAGGCAAAUGU